rnacentral:rRNA from 1 species
UACGUAGGUGGCAAGCGUUGUCCGGAUUUACUGGGCGUAAAGCGCGCGCAGGCGGACUGAUCAGUCUGGGGUGAAAUCUCCCGGCUCAACUGGGAGCGGUCCCUGGAUACUGUCAGUCUUGAGAGACCUAGAGGAGAGCGGAAUUCCCGGUGUAGUGGUGGAAUGCGUAGAUAUCGGGAAGAACACCAGUGGCGAAAGCGGCUCUCUGGGGGUUUUCUGACGCUGAGGCACGAAAGCGUGGGGAGCGAACCGG